UNGAGNNNAAUGGUCGNCAGAGUAACNGNNNNNGCGUGACGGUAUCCAACCAGAAANNCACGGCUAANUACGUGCCAGCAGCCGCGGUAAUACGUAGGUGGCAAGCGUUAUCCGGAUUUAUUGGGCGUAAAGCGAGCGCAGGCGGUUUUUUAAGUNUGAUGUGAAAGCCCUCGGCUUAACCGAGGAAGCGCAUCGGAAACUGGGAAACUNGAGUGCAGAAGAGGACAGUGGAACUCCAUGUGUAGCGGUGAAAUGCGUAGAUAUAUGGAAGAACACCAGUGGCGAAGGCGGCUGUCUGGUCUGUAACUGACGCUGAGGCUCGAAAGCAUGGGUAGCGAACAGGAUUAGAUACCCUGGUAGUCCAUGCCGUAAACGAUGAAUGCUAGGUGUUGGAGGGUUUCCGCCCUUCAGUGCCGCAGCUAACGCAUUAAGCAUUCCGCCUGGGGAGUACGACCGCAAGGUUGAAACUCAAAGGAAUUGACGGGGGCCCGCACAAGCGGUGGAGCAUGUGGUUUAAUUCGAAGCAACGCGAAGAACCUUACCAGGUCUUGACAUCUUUUGAUCACCUGAGAGAUCAGGUUUCCCCUUCGGGGGCAAAAUGACAGGUGGUGCAUGGUUGUCGUCAGCUCGUGUCGUGAGAUGUUGGGUUAAGUCCCGCAACGAGCGCAACCCUUAUGACUAGUUGCCAGCAUUUAGUUGGGCACUCUAGUAAGACUGCCGGUGACAAACCGGAGGAAGGUGGGGAUGACGUCAAAUCAUCAUGCCCCUUAUGACCUGGGCUACACACGUGCUACAAUGGAUGGUACAACGAGUUGCGAGACCGCGAGGUCAAGCUAAUCUCUUAAAGCCAUUCUCAGUUCGGACUGUAGGCUGCAACUCGCCUACACGAAGUCGGAAUCGCUAGUAAUCGCGGNUCANCNCGCCNCGGUGAAUACGUUCCCGGNCCNUU
rnacentral:rRNA from 1 species